CAGUCGCCGCGGUAACACGUAGGGUGCGAGCGUUAAUCGGAAUUACUGGGCGUAAAGCGUGCGCAGGCGGUUUUGUAAGACAGGCGUGAAAUCCCCGGGCUCAACCUGGGAAUGGCGCUUGUGACUGCAAAGCUAGAGUGCGGCAGAGGGGGAUGGAAUUCCGCGUGUAGCAGUGAAAUGCGUAGAUAUGCGGAGGAACACCGAUGGCGAAGGCAAUCCCCUGGGCCUGCACUGACGCUCAUGCACGAAAGCGUGGGGAGCAAACAGGAUUAGAUACCCCAGUAGUCCCUGUCUCUUAUAA
rnacentral:rRNA from 1 species